rnacentral:rRNA from 1 species
AGCCGCGGUAAUUCCAGCUCCAAUAGCGUAUAUUAAAGUUGUUGUGGUUAAAAAGCUCGUAGUUGAACCUUGGGCCUGGCUGGCCGGUUCGCCUCACCGCGUGUACUGGUCCGGCCGGGCCUUUCCCUCUGUGGAACCCCAUGCCCUUCACUGGGUGUGGCGGGGAAACAGGACUUUUACUGUGAAAAAAUUAGAGUGCUCCAGGCAGGCCUAUGCUCGGAUACAUUAGCAUGGAAUAAUAGAAUAGGACGUGUGGUUCUAUUUUGUUGUUUUCUAGGACCGCCGUAAUGAUUAAUAGGGACAGUCGGGAGCAUCAGUAUCCAAUUGUCAGAGGUGAAAUUCUUGGAGUUAUUGAAGACUAAAUACUGCGAAAUCAUUUGCCAAGGAUGUUUUCAUUA